AAGUCGUAACAAGGUUUCCGUAGGUGAACCUGCGGAAGGAUCAUUAACACGUUAUCCACGUACUUACCAACGAGAAUAGUUUUCAACCUACUCUCUUCUGACUAAAUGAACUGAGCCGUUACAGCGUAGGAUGGGAUGCUUGCGUCGACGUUGGCUGCUACUGAGUUCUACUAACUGCUUUUUGGCGUUAAUAGGAUUCGACAGUUGUAUUAGUUGGGAGUCUAAAGUCAUCGGUCUGUCGCCACUCCUGAUCAUCUGAUGACUACCCUAUUUUAACCAUUUCACCCCCUUUUUGCUAGUUGACUUUUAUAUGUUGCAUUCGAGCUUCGGCGAAGGUGCACACGUUUAAUUAUUUGAACGUUAAAAAUACAACUCUUAGCAAUGGAUAUCUAGGUUCUC
rnacentral:misc_RNA from 1 species